rnacentral:rRNA from 1 species
CAGUCGCCACGGUAAUACGUAGGUGGCGAGCGUUGUCCGGAUUUAUUGGGCGUAAAGGGAGUGUAGGCGGUCUUUUAAGUCUGAUGUGAAAGCCCACGGCUCAACCGUGGAGGGUCAUUGGAAACUGGGAGACUUGAGUGCAGAAGAGGAGAGCGGAAUUCCAUGUGUAGCGGUGAAAUGCGUAGAUAUAUGGAGGAACACCAGUGGCGAAGGCGGCUCUCUGGUCUGUAACUGACGCUGAGGCUCGAAAGCGUGGGGAGCAAACAGGAUUAGAUACCCCCGUAGUCCCUGUCUCUUAUAC